rnacentral:rRNA from 1 species
CAAAGGCCCCAAAGGAAGCCACGGCUAACUCUGUGCCAGCAGCCGCGGUAAUACAGAGGUGGCAAGCGUUGUUCGGUAUUAUUGGGCGUAAAGAGCACGUAGGUGGUUCUGUAAGUCAGAUGUGAAAGCCUUCUGUUCAAAGGAAGAACGGCAUCUGAAACUACAGAUCUUGAGUGUAGGAGGGGAGAGUGGAACUUCUGGUGGAGCGGUGAAAUGCGUAGAUAUCAGAAGGAACGUCGGCGGCGAAAGCGACUCUCUGGCCUAUUACUGACACAGAGUGUGCGAAAGUUAGGGGAGCAAACGGGAUUAGAUACCCCGGUAGUCCUAACUGUAAA